rfam:Triticum aestivum genome assembly, contig: Triticum_aestivum_CS42_TGACv1_scaffold_031050_1BL
AGCUGCGUGGUGAGCACAAAGCGAACUAUUCUUUCGCCUUUUACUAAAGAAUACCGUGUGCACGCCACAAUAAGCAGCAUACCUUAAUUUUUGAAGGGUCCUUCCUCUCUUGAGUAGGGU